CCAAAAUUGACCUUUAUCAUGAAAAGAGAGAAGCCCAGUAUCGCGCUCUUGUUCAUCGCACGGUAGUACUAGAACCCCCUUUCUCCCUCUCUCUCUCUAGAAAGUUGCCCUACCUUAUUUCUCUCUCUUCGCUUUGAAGGUCAACAAUGGCGGGUAAAUACAUCGUCGGCUCACUCGUUGGAUCCUUUUUCAUUGCUUAUGCUUGCGAUUACAUAAUGUCUGACAAGAAGAUUUUCGGAGGAACUAUUCCAUCAACUGUAUCAAACAAAGAAUGGUUCCAGGAAACUGAUAAAAGAAUGCAGGCAUGGCCUCGUACUGCUGGACCUCCGGUGGUGAUGAACCCUAUCAGUCGUCAGAACUUCAUUAUCAAGACUACUGAAUCUUGAAGAAACAUGUAAAGGUGUGGUGAGUUUUUGGACAGUCUUAUCAGUCAUCAGAGCUUCAUUCAAGUCGAUGGACUUUAGAAGGUUCUACUUUCUUUUAUGUUAUUCUCUUUUUUUGAUUGCUAUCAUAGUUGAACAAAAAGGUACCGAGUAGGAAUUUGUAUUGAUGUUUUGGUGGGUUGGGUAGCAUGGAUUUCUUUCUACUGGAUAUGAAUUAACGAUGUAAUGAAACUUUUUAUUUUAUUAUUAUUAUUAUUAUUAUUAUUA